CCUUAGGUCUCAAUACUCGACUGUACAAGUGGAUACCCCAGAAUGACCUUCUAGAUAUAAAGAGAAUAUUAUGAAAUUAUCAAGAAUUCAACAUGAUCAACCAGUGAAGCCCCUGGAUCGAGCAGUCUUCUGGAUUGAAUUUGUCAUGCGCCACAAAGGAGCCAAACAUCUUCGAGUUGCAGCCCACAACCUCACCUGGUUCCAG
rnacentral:lncRNA from 1 species